CCGGCGACUUUUCUGGCAGCCAACCCAACCAUCCGAAUCGCAAUACCAGAUCCGGCCUGUCGCCAAAACUUCUCCAGAAAAUACCCAUCAACGCGCCCACACACGCCGCUUCUCUCACCGGCAACUUCACCCACGUGCCGUCAUCUUAUCCGCACGUGACAGCGCGUCCAGUCGCCGGACUCACCUCUCUGUGCCGGUUCCAUAUAUCCGUUGUUAGUUUUCAGUUUCAAUUGACGUAAUUACAUGUUCUUGCACAAACAAUCCAUAUUUACACCGGAUUAUGAGUUGUUUAUCUCUCCGGUUACCAAUGGCUGUUGUUGGUACUUAUGUUCCCAAGAAUACUUUUACUAAAUAUGUCGCUUCUCCCCAAGGCUUCACAGCACGCUUUGAAGAUUUCCUCAGGUGGUGUCAGAAUAAUCAGAACUCUGGUUCUACUGCUUCGGUUGCACACACUGGUAACUCAUCUGUUUGCCUCUCUCAAUCAUCCUCUCUUGGCACUUGAGUUCUUGAUUCUGGUGCGUCUGAUCAUGCAUGUUACCGGUAAUACAAGUCUUUUUUCUUCUCUCUCUACAUUUGGUUUCUUACCCAAUAUAACUUCCGCAAAUGGUUCACAAACUCAAUCCCAAGGGAUUGGUACUGUCCAAAUUCUACCUUCCCUCUCAGUUGAUUAUGUUCUCUAUGUACCUGGUUUUCCAUUUAAUUUACUUUCAAUCAGUCGUUUAAUUCGUUCCCAUGAUUGUAUUGUUACUUUCACUAAAAGUAAUGUUACCCUGCAGGAUCGGAGUUCGGGACGGACGAUUGGCGUUGGAUGUGAGUCUCAAGGCCUUUACUACCUAUCUUUAACAUCCAACACAUGCUCCGCCAUAGAUUCUCCACUUACUAUCCAUGCUCAAUUGGGUCAUCCAGGUCUUUCCAAACUUCAAAAGUUGGUACCGAGUUUAUCUAAGUUGUCUGAUUUACAUUGUGAGUCGUGUCAGUUAGGGAAACACACUCGUAGUCACUUUCCUGAUCGAAUCAAUAAACGGGCUUCGUCCCCUUUUGCUUUUUAGUUCACUCCAAUGUUUGGGGUUCAUCUCGUACGAUGUCUACUUUAGAGUCAAAAUAUUUUGUUACUUUUAUCGAUGAUUUUUCCCGUUGUACAUGGAUAUUUUUAAUGAAAAAUAGAUCUGAAUUAUUUUCUAUCUUUUGAGCAAUUUUUUCAAGAAAUCAAAACUCAAUUUGGUGUGUCUAUUCGUACUUUAAGAAGCGGUAAUGCUCGUGAAUAUUUGUCGCAUCAAUUUCAAAAUUUUAUGGCUUUGAAUGGUAUUCUCCACCAAACAUCAUGUCCUCACACGCCUCAACAAAAUGGGGUAGCCGAACGCAAAAAUCGGCUUCUCAUUGAAACCAAAUGGACCCUGCUUCUCCAUGGUAAUGUCCCAUUUCGUUUUUGGGGGAUGAUGUCUUAACAGCAUGUUACCUUAUAAACCGCAUGCCAUCUUCUGUCCUUUUUCCUAAUUCCCCUCUUCACCCACUGCCUCCUCGUGUCUUCGGGUCCACGUGUUUUGUUCACAAUCUGUCUCCUGGUCAUGACAAAUUGUCAGGCUGAUCGCUAAAAUGCGUCUUUCUUGGUUAUCAUCAGUCACAAAAAGGUUAUCGUUGUUAUUCUCCUACAUUACAAUGAUACCUCGUAUCGGCUGAUGUUACCUUCUUUGAAUCUAUCCUAUACUAUGAGCCGAAAAAAAUGACUAAUGAACCACUUCAAGACAUUAAUCCUGAACCCAUUCAAGAAAUUACCAUUGUUCCUCUUGAGCCUUGUCAGUCUGUCCCACCAGAUACACCUCUGGCUGCUCCUCCAACUUCAAAACCACUACAAACAUAUCAGCGUCGUCCACGACCCUCUGUUGUGCCUGUUCCAGAGGCCGUUGAAGACUCGCCGCCAACGCCAUCUCCGUCAUCAGAUCCCGCAACCUGAGCCUCAUUUUCCCCCUGUAAUUCGUAAAGGUACUCGUUCAACACGUAACCCAUCUCCACACUAUAUUGAUUCAUGUUACAGUCGUCUUUCCCCUUUGAAAUUCUGGUACACAGUAGACAAGUGUUGUCCACGAUAUUCAGACACUUGUCAUAACACUUGUCUAAACAGUAAGAACAAUAAAGCAGAACAUUAAAAACAUAUACUAAAAAGCAUAAACAACACACAGAAUUGUUAACCUAGUUCAGCACAACAGCCUACUUUGGGGGCAUACCAAGUCAAAGAUAAAGUCCACUAAAUAGUAUCAAUUCAGAGCUAAACUCCACUGUUUACAAUUCCUCACUUAAUCACUACCCGUGCUAUACUUUCUACCUAAGACUCACCUAGGUAUGAGGCCCUCCUCAACUCCCUCUUCAAUCACAAACAGCGAUUGGAUCAACAGAACAAUUCUGAAUAAACUAGAAGACACACUUCCAUGAAAUUAAUACCUAGCCAACGACUAAGUUCACAAUUUGGAGUUGCUUAAAAGCUUCCUCCAAGUACAAUACUCAACUCAUUACCUGCAGAGGUCUGAUUGAGGACAUAGUGACCAUCUCACAACCCGAGUGGUUCACUUUACACCAAAUCUCAUAGAGAGUGGCUCAAAGACACGAAACCCUAAAAGACUACAUCUUUGAUAUUCUAUUUUUGCUUCAAGUUUCGGUGUAUAAAACAGGGUUAGUAGCACCCUUUAUAUAGCACAGCCUCGUGGGCUUUUCACAAUGCUUCAGCUCUAAAAAAUCUUCCAGAGGAAAAAUAUAUUUUUACUAAAUCUUUCUUUGCAUCAAAAUAUUCCUCCCAUAAAUAUAUUUGUUGUAAAUAUAUUUUAAAAUUAAAUCUUCUAAUCUUCUUGAAGCACAAAGAUUUAUUUCAGUGAACAUAUUUUAAAACUAAAUGUUUUGAUUCCUUAAUAUUUGAUAAUAGUCUUGAGAACCAUGUAACCUAAUACAGCCGCCUUCUGAAGACUCAUAAACCACAUGCGCCUUGUUAUAUAAGUUAGCACGAAAUAAUUCUUCCAGCAAAUCUUCAAAAGAUUGAAUAUAAAACAAUAACGCUAGCUGGCGCGCAGUCAGACUACAUAGGCGUUGUUCCAAUGUGUAUGUACAUCUGUCUCAACACAUGAUGUAUGCACAUAUGUCUCAACACUUAACUAAAAGAUGUUUUUGCAAAAUGUAGCCAACAUACAAAAACCCAACAAUCCCCCCCUUUGGCAAAUUUUGGCUAAAACAAUAUUAGACUAGUAUUCAGAGAGAUACAGUAUCACCUUUCCUUCGAGUCAACAUGAUCACACAAUUAAGAAAGAAAGUAACACAUAGUAAGACUACUUCCAAGAUGGGUAAGUAGCAUCAGAGGCAAUGCAAUAGCGGAAACACACACAAAUAGCCUCAUGGAACAACACAAGGGAGAAGUAAACUCCCAUAAUGGAUUCAAAGAUAGGAGAAAUAAACUCCUAUUAGUUAGGGCGCAUCCAUUCAACAUAAGAUCAUCAGGAAAAAAUUAAUUUCCACACACCACAUAAGAGAAACUAGGAAAAAUAAAUUCCUAUAUAUAUCUGAGAAAAAUAAAUUCCCAGUCACAGAUAAUAGUGGAUUCUCGCAGCCAAGAUGUCUCAGCAUCUGGCACCACACUUGUCACAGAGAUCAUCAUACAUCAGACAUGGGGGAUAACCAUUCAUACUACCACUCCCCCUGAAGUCAUGCAUACCAGAACAGAUAAAGAAUUUUUCUACUCCCCCUCAACACAUGCAUAUAACAUAUAACUCACACUCCCCCUCAAUACGAGCAUAGAAGAAUAAGCACAAACUACUUUCACCAGAUGUAAGCACAUCUGUCUACACACCAUGCACACACACACACUACUCACCAGCCACUAUGUCAUUCACAAUGACAACAUCAGGGUCAUCACCCACACUUUUGUCAACAAAAAGUACUUUAUCAGCAGACAAAGACCUAAUACUCUCAUCAGAGUCAGAAUAACCAACAACAUUAUUACCAGAGUUAUUAUCAGUCCUUACUACUACUAGAAUUCUUUGUUGCUUAGUAGUAUCCACCUAGUCAGGAUUAUCUUGAUCAUUCUUGCCUACACCAGUAUCAGUUGCCACAAAUGUAUAAACAUCUGGCACAACAUUAGUCUCAAGAACAGUUUCCUUGAUAUACUCAUCAAUACAAUAACUAUUGACCUUAGUAGAAGCGUCAACAGCAUAAUUAACAUUUGCAGAAGAAUUUAAAUCAUAUUUCCCUUGAUUAGCAUGCACCAGACAAUGGAGAGAAGGAUACAAUACAUACCUUCUUUCACUUCAACACAAACACACAUCAGAGACAUGCAGCAGCAGAAUUGGGUUCACCCAGCCCACAGAGCACAUUAACAGAGAGAAAUAAAUUCUCACAAAAGAACUGAUUAGAUCAGGAUGACUAGAUUCAUAGCAGAACACAUCCACAAACAUCACGCCAAAAACUACCACGCUACUAAUUAGAGAAUGAGCUACAAACAUCAGAUUGAGAGUUCACAACACUGUGAUCAGCAGAAUUAUUACCAGUCAUCAUUACUUUGUAGUAUUCUUUUUCACAGUAGUAUUCAUCUAGUAAGAAAUAUCUGAAACAGUCUGAUCUAUUACAGUUUCAGGUGCUGCAGAUGUAUCCCCACUUGGCACAACAUUAGUCUCCAAUGCCAUAGAUGUGUCAACAUCCGACACAAUAUCCGUCUUAGGGACGAGUUCCAUGAGUGAAUCAGCAGCAACUCACUUGUGGCCUUAGUGGAAGCACCAACAUCAUAAUUAACAACAACAGGGUGACACAAGAGGAUCAAUCAUCAGUAGUUGAUCAACCUUCAAUACCAGAUCAUCCACAUAUGUUUGAACAACACUCUAACCCUUUUACUUAACAAGGACACAUCUUGAUCACUGUCUUGCAGAACCACACUCUGUAUAAUGACCUUUUGAAUAAGCAAGAUGUCAUUCUUAAUAAGUGUGAAGUCACUCACAAACUCCAAAACUUCUUAGUUUGCUUAAAAGCUUGACUAAGAUUCUGAUUAUCAGCCCUUUUCUGGAGUGACUUGCAGUAGAUAACCGAAGACAAUUAUCAGACCUCAGUAUCUGACAAUAUUUUGCUGCCAUUACAUCCACUACUAGUAGAAUAAAUAGUCAUGCAUUGCCAGAACCUCCACAUUCUGAUUCACAUAGUCAGAAAUGCCUCUUCUGAUCAUACAACUUGAGCACUCCCAUGCGCAAUCCCAAGCACCUUCCAUGCCCUACUAUCAUCCAACACAAUUAUGCAUAAUGUGCAGGUCAAAUGUACCAACAUCUGGAAGCACAUCAGUCCCUUUCUCAAGGAACACACCAAGAUAUCUCUUUUCAACAAACUCAUAUAUGAGUGCCUUUAUGAGUGGACUUGAGAUUACCCUCAAGUAUCUUUGGCAUCUCUAAAAAGUUAAUUGAACCUCUCCUCAAGUAUCACUACACCAAGGGAUAUAUCUUCAAAGGAGAACAGAGUGUUGCAUCAUCAACACAAAACAAAAACCAGGAGUUUUCCAUGAGAUAAAUAUGCAGCGGAAUUCAAACCAGAAAACUCCUCAACAAACUUCAGGCACAACAUAAUGACCUUUGCACAAACUCCACACUCCAGGUGCAAUAGGUUAACAUAGGUUUGAAAAUAAACCAAACCAUACAGCAAGUUUAAUACAUACCCUGUCAUGAAUAAUCCAUCCUCCACUUCUAGGGAUCAUUCAACCAAAUAUGAACUUCUCCAAGUUCAAACAACUUUUCAGUAUUCCUUACUUGCUCAUAACUAGAAAGUAUCUUCCCUAGGAUCUCACCCAGAUACAGAACAGGAUGCCUGCUCUGAUACCAAUUGAAAUUCUGGUACACGGUAGACAAGUGUUGUCCACGAUGUUCAGACACUUGUCAUAACACUUGUCUAAACAGUAAGAACAAUAGAGCAGAGCAUUAAAAACAUAUACUGAAAAGCAUAAACAACACACAGAAUUGUUAACCCAGUUUAGCACAACAGUCCACUAAAUAGUAUUAAUUCAGAGCUAAACUCCCACGUUUACAAUUCCUCACUUAAUCACUACUCGUGCUAUACUUUUUAUCUCAGACUCACCUAGGUAUGAGGCCGUCCUCAACUCCCUCUUCAAUCACAGACAGCGAUUGGAUCAACAGAACAAUUCUGAAUAAACUACAAGACACACUUCCAUGAAAUUAAUACCUAGCCAACGACUAAGUUCACAAGUUGGAGUUGCUUAAAAGCUUCCUCCAAGUACAAUACUCAACUCAUUACCUACAGGCUGAGUGAGGACAUAGUGACCAUCUCACAACCCGAGUGGUUUACUUUACACCAAAUCUCCUAGAGAGUGGCUCAAAGACACGAAACCCUAAAAGACUACAUCUUUGAUAUUCUAUUUUUGCUUCAAGUUUCGGUGUAUAAAACAGGGUUAGCAGCACCCUUUAUAUAGCACAGCCUCGUGGGCUUUUCACAAUGCUUCAGCUCCAAGAAAUGUUCUAGAGGAAAAAUAUAUUUUUACUAAAUCUUUCUUUGCAUCAAAAUAUUCCUCCCAUAAAUAUAUUUGUUGUAAAUAUAUUUUAAAAUUAAAUCAGGCGACAUUGUCAAGCUGCAUUGCACAUUGCCUCAAACCCAUUUUUUCAUGAGAGGACCAAACAUAUUGAGAUAGACUGUCAUUUUGUCAAGAGAAGAUUGAAUCAGGUGACAUUGUCGCAAGCUUUGUCAAUUCUAAUGAUCAAUUGAUAGAUGUCUUUACAAAAUCACUGCAAGGUCCUAGAAUCAACUACAUAUGUGGCAAGCUUGGUGGAUUUGACUUAUAUGCUCCGGCUUGAGGGGGAGUGUUGAUAUUUAAUAUUAUUGUAAAUAUAUUCUAGAGUAUUCUUAGCAUAGCAUAUUCCAUAGUAAAUAUUCCUUUGUAAUUAAUGCUCUUAAUAUUAUAUAAUGAAAUGUUUGUGAUGUUCUAUGACACACAGUUUUCGCCAUAUGCCUCUUGUACUCUUUAUCUUUUUCUCUUUCAACAAUACCAACCAUCCAAAAAUCUCUUAACUUCUUUCACCUUAAACAACUGGCGGGGUUGCUUCUAUGAAACUUGGCCUUACAGUCUCUUAUCACUGUUGACUCCUUCAAGGUAGGGAUUGGAUCUCGAAAAAAUUUAACUGAUAUGGUCUUGCGAUGAAGAGUCGGCUAAGAUAGUUUGGUCACUAACUCUUUCCAGCCUUAUGAUUCUUUCUAUGUUUGCUUCUUUAAAAACCGGUAUGAAUUCUGUGCAAUUCUCAUAUCACAUUUCACUGGUAAACCUCUAAACCUUCCAGCAUGUUCUAGGCGAUUCAUAGAACUACUAUAUGUUGAUGAAUAUGUCCUAAUUAUGUGGCACUUAAGUAUGAUGCAGCACUUUUAAAAUCAACAUUGAGUUCUUGUAAAGAGGCUUAUUUGAGAAAUUGCUCAUGCCUUUUGCUUUUCUGUGAAAAUAGUGCUGAUAGAUGCUGUCAGUUAGAUCAGAUUGGGCACUUCCAACACUUUAAUAGAGUCCAAAGUGGUUAUGUUUCUUAUAUGUUGGUAUCUAUUAAUGGUGGUGAAGAUGGCUUGAACUUGUAUAUGCCAAGGAAAAAGGAAUUAUGGGUGGUUAUACAAUAAGAGUGUUGCAAUUUCUUGUCCUGUGCAGCACCAUUCUUUUGCAACAACCACAAGUUUAUUUACAAAAAUUGAUAAGGUGGAAUCUAUUCCACAAUGCAUGGAGCAGUCAGCUACAAAAAUGGACCAUGUUGUAAUAAAAGAGCUCAAUAGUUACAUCAUGUGGUUUCUCAUUGAAUUUGGACCAAGUUUAUUUACAUCAUGUGGUUUCUCAUUGAAUUUGGACCUAGGCUUUAUACUGGUCAAGCAUAUACUUAUCCGCAUGAAAUUGCAAACUCUUCCUACACUAGUAAUGUUACACAUGUGAUAGUUGGUCUUUAUUGGCAUAUUGGUUUAGCUCCCGGGUGUAUAUAUUAUACAACACUCUAGCUAGGAGCAAAGGAAUUGUGUGUGGCUUCAAAUUGAAUUUUAAUGUCCCUGUUCUUUUCUUAAUCUCCAUUGGUAUGCUUGCACACUUAAAAGUUGGUGGAGUUGCACAAAUUGACUUGGUGGGAUUUGUUCAGCAAGGAAAAAAGGUGUUCCCUAACUUAGAAGUGGUUGAUAAACAAGAGUAGGUGGUGGUUAAUUGUCUUGAUGAUACUCAAUUACUGUUUACAAUCCUUUAUGAUUGCGUGGCUAGCCAAUAUGAAAGGUUAAAUCUUUUAAUUCAAGUUCAUAGCAGGACAUAUACUUUUGCCAAGUUUUCUUCGUUGUCCAAUAGUUUGUGGUUGCUUAGGCCGUGCUUCAGGUCUUCUUAUUCUCCACAACAUCUUAUGAUACAACUUGAUUUUAAUAUGUUGGUGGAAGCAAUUGAUUCAUAUGCCAUGUUCUGCUAUGGUUUUGCUGUCACUGUCAAUGUCCACGACAUGAUAUCUACUAGCUAUAUUUCAGAAUAUAUGCAGAAGACAAUAAAAGGAAAGCACUCCAAGAAAUGGGAUCCGGGUGGCGUUGCCUAUUUUUUCAUUGCUAUGGGAGCUUUACAAUUCAAACUGUGGGAUCCCCGUCGAUGUUUUAUUGUCCAUGGGAAAGGUGCUACUAUUAUUCUACACCAUUAUCUUAGGUUGAUUUUAAUGGGGAGAGUAAUGUUAUGAUUCAAAAUAGCACAUGUGGCAAUAUAUUUGGCAUAACAUAAUUGGUUGAGGUAAAUGGAUAGUGAUCCUAAAAUCAAGGAACCUUGAGUUGUGCUUAAAUAGUGAAAGGAGGAUCAAUAGUAGGUAUGAAGAAAAUUGAUGAAAACUCUCCUCUCUCGUAGAGUGGUGGUUAAGUCUUAGACUAAAUCUUUUUCUAUCUUUUCAUUAAUGCUUCUUUUAUACCAAGAAUUCUAAUUAGGUUCUCAUCUAUCAAUUUUACCUAAUCAAUUUACAAUUAUCAA